UACGUAGGGGGCAAGCGUUGUCCGGAAUCAUUGGGCGUAAAGCGCGUGUAGGCGGCUCGGUAAGUCCGGUGUGAAACCUUGGGGCUCAACCCCAAGCCUGCACUGGAUACUGUCGAGCUCGAGUCCGGGAGGGGAGAGCGGAAUUCCUAGUGUAGCGGUGAAAUGCGCAGAUAUUAGGAAGAACACCGGUGGCGAAGGCGGCUCGCUGGAACGUUACUGACGCUGAGACGCGAAAGCGUGGGGAGCAAACAGGG
rnacentral:rRNA from 1 species